AAAGAAGUAAUUUUAAUAAGCUAUCGAGGAUAUUUAACUAUACUUCCUUCUGUAUAAAUUGAUGUUCUUGCCUGCUUGGCUUUGCGUAUUCUGGUGUCUCUGCUUCUACUUUCUAUCGCAUCUCAAAAUCUGAAAAAUCUCAUAAAGAAGAGUUAGUUAAGCUCGAUCUCUCUCUCUCUUGUUAUACAAAAAGGAGGAGGAGGAGGAGGAGGA
rnacentral:misc_RNA from 1 species